rnacentral:lncRNA from 1 species
AUGCUCGCGGGAUCGAGCAUAUCCAAUCCCUUUGUCUCCAGGCAGUCCACUCAGUGACUGAGCUCCUAUUAUCUGCCCAGUGACAGGAGAAUGCUGAAAGAACUUUCUGAAGGCUGUUGACAGCCAAUGGAAGCCUUAGGAAGUGCAACGUGACCCCACAGAAACUGUAGUUUCGAUAGUGAAUGAAAAGAAGACACCAUUCAAACAGUUUUAGAAACUUCAGAAUGUUUUCUGUCCAAAUUUACUAAUAAUAUGCAUAUUGUAGUUUCUGGGCCAGAGUAGUAACCAGUUUAACCUGUUGGGGCUAGGGGACAGUAUUGACAGUUUCGGAAAGAAUAUGUGCCCAUAUUAAACUGCCUCCUACUCAAACUCAGAAGCUAGGAUAUGCAUAUUAUUAGUAGAUUCAGAUAGAAAACACUCUGAAGUUUCUAAAACCGUUUGAAUAGUGUCUGUGAGUAUAACAGAACUCAUAUGGCAAGCAAAAACCUGAGAGAAAUCCUACCAGGAAGUGGAAAUCUGGAUGCAUGGGCUCUCUUCAAGUCGUUUCCUAUUGAAUACACAGUGACGUAGUAAUAAUUGUGCAAUUCCUACGGCUUCCACUAGAAGUCGACAGUCUUUACAAAGUUGUUUGAAGCUUCUACGGUGAACAGACCCCGAAUGACAAGGAGGGGAAGUUGUUUAGGCAGGGGGUGACAUCACUUCUUGGGGCGCGUUCACGAGGGUGGAGCCUCCCGUUCCAAAACCUUUUUCAAGACACAGGAACCGUCCGGUUGAAAUAUUAUUGAAUCUUCAUGUUCUGAAGGCCCUAAAGAUUGAUGUUUUACAACGUUUGACAUGUUUGAACGAACGUAAAUACAACUUUUUUUUACUUUUCGACGCGUCAUCGUCCGCGCGCUUUCUACACUUGGAGUAGCUUACUGGACGCACGAACAACAAGGAGUUAUUUGGACAUAGAUUAUGGACUUUAUCGAACAAAACAACAUUUGUUGUGGACCUGGGAUUCCUAUUUCUAAUACAAUGUUUGAUUUUAGAUGACUCCAAGAUGGCGGCUAUCUGUAUAGCCUAGUGUAUUUUUCUGAGCUCAGUACUCAGAUUAUUGCAAAGAAGCUUCCUCGUGAAGCUUUUUUGAAAUUUGCAUAAAGGAGAUGUUCAACUAUAAUUCUUUGAAUGACAGUUUAAUUUUGUAUCAAUGUUUAUGACAAGUAUUUUUGUAAAUUGUGGCGUUGAUUCACCGGCAGUAUUUGAGGGAAAAUAUUUUCUGAACGUCACGCGCCGAUGUAAAAUGCUGUUUUUAUAUAUAAAUAUGAACUUUAUCGAACAAAAAAUGCAUGUAUUGUGUAACAUGAUGUCCUAGGAGUGUCAUCUGAUGAAGAUCGUCAAAGGUUAGUGCUGCAUUUAGCUGUGUUUUGGGUAUUUGUGAUGCAUGCUAGAUGCUUUGAAAAUGGCUGUGUAAUUAUUUUUGGCAGGGUACUGUCCUAACAUAAUCUAAUGUUUUGCUUUCGCUGUAAAGCCUUUUUGAAAUCGGACAACGUGGUUCGAUUCAGGAGAAGUGUAUCUAUAAAAUGGUGUAAAAUAGUCAUAUGUUUGAGAAAUUGAAGUUAUAGCAUUUAUGAGGUAUUUGUAUUUCGCGCGACGCGAUUCCACUGGCUGUUGACACUGGCUGUGUUUCUCGUUGCCUCUGAUUGAAGGUCAAAUCAAUAAACUGAACAUAGACAUAAACAACCUAGAACUAACAUAGAACACACUAACCUAGAACCUAAACCAACACCCCUCUACAUAAACACAUAGCCCAAAAAAACCCGAAACACUCUAAACAAAUACCCCUUCUACAUAAACACAUAAUAUAACAAACCCCUAAACACUCUAAACAAAUACCCCCUCUGUUAGAGUGAAAAUAUCAGAGACUGAAAAGUUUAAUCUUGUCACAUCCUGACCAGCAGAGGGCGUAAUUGUGUUAGUUUUGGUCAGGAUGUGGCAGGGGGGUUGUGUGUGUUAACCUGUUAGGGCUAGGGGGCAGUAUUGACACGGCUGGAUAAAAAACAUACCCGAUUUAAUCUGGUUACCACUCCUACCCAGUAACUAGAAUAUGCAUAUACUUAUUACAUAUGGAUAGAAAACACCCUAAAGUUUCUAAAACGGUUUGAAUGGUGUCUGUGAGUAUAACAGAACUCAAAUGGCAGGUCAAAACCUGAGAGAUUCCUUUACAGGAAGUGGCCUGUCUGACCAUUUCUGGAACUUCUUUUCCAUCUCUAUCUUUUACUAAGGAUCUCUGCUCUAACGUGACACUUCCUACGUCGUCCAUAGGCGCUCAGAGCCCGGGAAAAAACAGAAUGUCGUCAUCCCAGCCCCAGGCUGAAACACAUUAUCGCCUUUCUCAAGUGGCCGAUCAAGGGACACUGGGCUUAGGCGCGUGACUCGACCGCCCCCGCCUUUGUGAUUUUUUUCCUCUGUUUGCCGAAAAGGAGAUUCCCUGUCGGAAUAUUAUCGCUUUUCUACGAGAAAAAUGGCGUAAAAAUUGAUUUUAAACAGCGGUUGACAUGCUUCGAAGUACG